GGGGGUAUAGCUCAGCUGGCUAGAGCGCUUGCAUGGCAUGCAAGAGGUCGUCGGUUCGACUCCGAUAACCUCCA
rnacentral:tRNA from 1 species